GUAGGAAGCUGUUACAUCUUGUAUUGCGGCACUUCGAGAUAGCUCAGUCUUUUAUCCUGCCGAUGGCUCUGGUGCUAGAAGAGUUUGAAUAUGCCAUGUCCACUUUGAAGACAACAAAGAACUUUUCAUCCAAGAGAAGGUUCGGAACAUCUAGCCAUGAGACAAGGAAUCUUCUGGCUGGAGCUUUUUGUAAUCCAUGGGAUUAUUUUUUAUAUAAAAGGUCUCAACACCCUGCAAAUAGUGAUGCCAAGUAGGAUGACAGCAUACAGAAGAAAAACAGGCAACUCUGCCAGCAAGAGGUACCACUAGGAGCUGGCAUGGAUGUGGACUGCACAUAAAAAGAUCAGCAUCUGAUCAGCAUCAUAAAAUGGUAGCUGAUGAUUGGCAACAAACAAAAAACGGAGCUUCCCUGGAGGUGUACCAGUUCCAUGAGCCUCCUGCCAGCUGAGCAGCACUGAUGCCAACAGUGGAGAAUAACAUCUAGAAGAUCAAUGAGGAAGGAUAUUUUACAGAGGUGUUAAAGAAAAGGAUAUAAAAAGGAUACUGAAGGUAAAGAAGACAUCAAGACAAUUUUGUACCAGAGGUGAAGCAUCAUGAGCAAUUCCAUGUGGACCAACUGUACACUAAAAGAAAUGAGGAAAUAAAAGAGAACUGAGAGUACUAGCCAUGAAAUCAUGGAGUAGGAGGAGCAUUCAAUAAGAUGGAUGUGGAUAUGCCACACAACUCCAGUUCCAGAGACAUGGAUAGUUUUUGGAGUCUUCCUUCUCUGUGUGUAUGGCUGAAACUGCUAAAUACAAGAGACAAGAAACAGAGUUCAGUGAAGCAGUACUCAGCUUUGUGUGGUAAUAUGAGGGCCAUGCUGAAGGCAGAAGAGUCCUUGAUGGUUCCGGCUGUCUGGCUUUCUAGGGUAGAGCUGUGGGCAAUCAAUUAACUCCACCAGUCCGAAAAGCAGAAAUGCAUGCAAGCAGACAUCAAAUCCUGCUUACAAGCAAUGCAAACUGAAUACAGCAACUUUGGAGAUUAAUGUUCCUGGACCAGAAGGGACACCAGCAGUGUGUUACUAUCUGGCAGAUCUACAGCAUAGUACAUGGAGAUGCUACCAGCCCCACCCAAAAUUACAUGUUAUGUAACCAAGUGAGAUGCAUUAAGAUCAUCUCCAACAUCGCCAUCUCCUGACUUUGAAUGAUAGUGCAUGUUGCUUCUGUGACAAUUGGUAUUCAAGAAAUGAAAAAAUGGCACUCAAGAUUUCUGUUCUGAAUUAAAAAAAAUAAUAAUAAUCAAUUUUGCACUGAAUUUUUCUUCUUUGUAUUCUGAAAUGUUUUGUAGCUGAUUAUCAAAUAAUUUAUCUUUGAUUUUGUAGUUAUUGUUUGCGUAAGACCCCAUUAACUCUUACAGGGUAGGUGGGCAACUGAAAACGUCAGCAUAUAUAGAAGAAAUUCAAGAACUUCAAGCACUGUAAGCUGUAGAGAGAGUUCCAAGUAACUCUUCAGCAACCUCUGCAAAGUUCCUCUCUUCUGGAAAAUGAAUACUAACCCAGGACAAGAGAAGACUGACGCCUGAUCAAGCCGUGGAAAUCUCCCUGAUGACUUCACUGGGCUCUUGCAUGUACAUAUAGAGCAGUCAUCUCCAUCCACUUACAGUCCUGCACUGAUGAUGUUCACUUGAACUGUGAAAUGGUUAGCAUUUAAAAGUUGUCCCUUCUACGUGAAUCCUGCUGUGCCUCACGUUUUAUAAUGCCGAGUGUUGUUAAAUGUUUGAGCAAUAUUGCAAUUGUUUCUAUUUGUUGAAUUUAUAUGAAAG
ensembl:lncRNA